rnacentral:rRNA from 1 species
GAUGAACGCUGGCGGCGUGCUUAACACAUGCAAGUCGAACGAAGCACUUUAUUUGAUUUCCUUCGGGACUGAUUAUUUUGUGACUGAGUGGCGGACGGGUGAGUAACGCGUGGGUAACCUGCCUUGUACAGGGGGAUAACAGUUGGAAACGGCUGCUCAUACCGCAUAAGCGCACGGCAUCGCAUGAUGCAGUGUGAAAAACUCCGGUGGUAUAUGAUGGACCCGCGUUGGAUUAGCUAGGUGGUGAGGUAACGGCCCACCAAGGCGACGAUCCAUAGCCGACCUGAGAGGGUGACCGGCCACAUUUGGACUGAGACACGGCCCAAACUCCUACGGGAGGCAGCAGUGGGGAAUAUUGCACAAUGGGCGUAAGCCUGAUGCAGCGACGCCGCGUGAGCGAAGAAGUAUUUCGGUAUGUAAAGCUCUAUCAGCAGGGAAGAUAAUGACGGUACCUGACUAAGAAGCACCGGCUAAAUACGUG